rnacentral:rRNA from 1 species
GACGAACGCUGGCGGCGUGCUUAACACAUGCAAGUCGAACGGAAAGGCCUCUUUCGGGGGGUACUCGAGUGGCGAACGGGUGAGUAACACGUGAGUAACCUGCCCUUGACUUUGGGAUAACUUCAGGAAACUGGGGCUAAUACCGGAUAGGAGCUCCUGCUGCAUGGUGGGGGUUGGAAAGUUUCGGCGGUUGGGGAUGGACUCGCGGCUUAUCAGCUUGUUGGUGGGGUAGUGGCUUACCAAGGCUUUGACGGGUAGCCGGCCUGAGAGGGUGACCGGCCACAUUGGGACUGAGAUACGGCCCAGACUCCUGCGGGAGGCAGCAGUGGGGAAUAUUGCACAAUGGGUGGAAGCCUGAUGCAGCAACGCCGUGUGCGGGAUGACGGCCUUCGGGUUGGAAACCGCUUUCGCUCAUGACGAAGCUUUGUGUGACGGUAGUGGGUAAAGAAGCACCGGCUAACUACGUG